GAUGAAGAACGCAGCGAAAUGCGAUAAGUAAUGUGAAUUGCAGAAUUCAGUGAAUCAUCGAAUCUUUGAACGCACAUUGCGCCCGCCAGUAUUCUGGCGAGCAUGCCUGUUCGAGCGUCAUUUCAACCAUCAAGCCCCAGGCUUGUGUUGGAGACCUGCGGCUGCCGCAGCCUCCCAAAACCAGUGGCGGGCUCGCUAUCACACCGAGUGCAGUAGUUUACUCUUCGCUCAGGGCGUGUGGCGGGUGCUAGCCGUGAAACCCCCAACUUCUCAAGGUUGACCUCGGAUCAGGUAGGAAUACCCGCUGAACUUAAGCAUAUCAAUAAGCGGAGGA
rnacentral:misc_RNA from 1 species